GUCCAGCCACAGCAUGAGGUACUGAAAGACCCCCGAAGGGAGACCCUCACUCAAGCCUCGGGACAGCCGCGGACCCAAGAAGACACUGAGACCG
rnacentral:pre_miRNA from 7 species